rnacentral:lncRNA from 1 species
UAACAAUGACAUAACACAAAAAUUAUGAUUUUAAAAAAAACUUAGUUUGAAUAUAUUGAAUCGUUGUAACUUUGUUAAGACCAUAUCUCUAUGGUUAAAAUAUGACGUUAAAAUUCAUUGAAUGAGCGAUAUAUCGAUAAUCGACGACAACCAUUAGAUAUCGAUAUACGAAACAUAAAAAAUGCAUCGAUUGAAAAUUAAUAUCAUUCGUGUCUUAAAACAUUCAGAACAGGAAGCAUCGUUAAUUAUGAAAUAAUAGAGGGUUGAUUUAAAAGUUAAACGUAUUCAAAUGGUAUUCGAAUCGUAUCUCUAACCUAACCCUAUUAUCUCGUUUUCUGGCGAGUUAUAUAACAAUGUCGAGAGAACAAUGGAUUUGAAAUGCAAAUAAAAACAGAGGUACAUAUCCUUGUACAACAUGGUAGGCCUGCAACAUUUGCUCCAAUACGAUGUGAAAAUUGGGAAGAUUCUGCACACAACAUAGUAGGCAAUGAGAAUUUUUAAGUGCAAGAAAGUAGCAAUUUGGAACUUUUCUGAUGAAAAAUCGAUGACAUUUUUUACAACAAACAUAAAUGGAAAUCGUACAUAAAUCAACGAAUAUCAGAAGAUGAGGAUAUUUGCCAGAAAGGAAAUUGCCCUCGCUUACGUAAUAUACAUUCAUUAAGAUCUCUGCGAUAACACGGAUUCGGAUAACUAGACAUAUUUUUGGAACGUAACCAUAUCGUGUUAUACGAGGAUACCUGUAUUCUGUCUUUGAAACCUUAAAUGCAAAUAUCAUAUUGAGAACGUAUAUUGAAAUAUGUAUAUAAAUGUAUAUUGUCUUUAAAACCUUAAAUGCAAAUGUAUAUAAAUGUAUAAAUUUGUUGGAAUUGAUCAAUUUUGCUUCUGACUAACCUAAUUAAAGAAAUAAAUCAUCU